CAGCAGCCGCGGUAAAACGAAGGGUGCAAGCGUUAAUCGGAAUUACUGGGCGUAAAGCGCGCGUAGGUGGUUUGGUAAGAUGGAUGUGAAAUCCCCGGGCUCAACCUGGGAACUGCAUCCAUAACUGCCUGACUAGAGUACGGUAGAGGGUGGUGGAAUUUCCUGUGUAGCGGUGAAAUGCGUAGAUAUAGGAAGGAACACCAGUGGCGAAGGCGACCACCUGGACUGAUACUGACACUGAGGUGCGAAAGCGUGGGGAGCAAACAGGAUUAGAUACCCGCGUAGUCCCUGUCUCUUAUAC
rnacentral:rRNA from 1 species